rnacentral:rRNA from 1 species
GAAUCGCUAGUAAUCGCGAAUCAGAAUGUCGCGGUGAAUACGUUCCCGGGUCUUGUACACACCGCCCGUCACACCAUGGGAGUCGGGAAUGCCCGAAGUCAGUGACCCAACCUAUAGGAGGGAGCUGCCGAAGGCAGGUCUGAUAACUGGGGUGAAGUCGUAACAAGGUAAC